rnacentral:rRNA from 1 species
AUCAGGGUUCGAUUCCGGAGAGGGAGCCUGAGAAACGGCUACCACUUCCAAGGAAGGCAGCAGGCGCGCAAAUUACCCAAUCCCGGCACGGGGAGGUAGUGACGAAAAAUACGGAUACGGGACUCAUCAGAGGCUCCGUAAUUCGAAUGAGUACACUUUAAAUCCUUGUACGAGGAUCAACUGGAGGGCAAGUCUGGUGCCAGCAGCCGCGGUAACUCCAGCUCCAGAAGCGUAUAUUAAAGUUGUUGCAGUUAAAAAGCUCGUAGUUGGAUCUGGGUCGCAUGGCUACAUGCUGCGCUCGUAUUUCCAAUCUGGUUACGACUGGAGCGGAUUUGUGAGUCAGUGUCGUGGUUGUGCAGCCUUUCUGCCGUGUCUGGUUUCCAGGUGCUGGCUAUCAGUGGGUUCGUCUCGCUGUUUAGUUGGCAUGCUUCUCGAUGCCUUUCAACGGGUGUCGGAUGCGGACGGCACGUUUACUUUGAACAAAUUUGAGUGCUCAAAGCAGGCCACAGAGCCUGAAAAUUCUUGCAUGGAAUAAUGAAAUAGGACUUCGGUUCUAUUUUGUUGGUUUUCGGAUCCGAAGUAAUGGUUAAGAGGGACAGACGGGGGCAUUUGUAUGGCGGUGUUAGAGGUGAAAUUCUUGGAUCGCCGCCAGACAAACUACAGCGAAAGCAUUUGCCAAGGAUGUUUUCAUUGAUCUGGAGCGAAAGUCAGAGGUUCGAAGACGAUCAGAUACCGUCCUAGUUCUGACCAUAAACGAUGCCAACUGACGAUCCGCGGUGGUUCUUUUAUUGUCCCCGCGGGCAGUCCCCGGGAAACCUUUAAGUCUUUGGGCUCCGGGGGAAGUAUGGUUGCAAAGCUGAAACUUAAAGGAAUUGACGGAAGGGCACCACCAGGAGUGGAGCCUGCGGCUUAAUUCGACUCAACACGGGAAAUCUCACCCGGCCCGGACACCGUGAGGAUUGACAGAUUGAAAGCUCUUUCUUGAUUCGGUGGUUGGUGGUGCAUGGCCGUUCUUAGUUGGUGGAGCGAUUUGUCUGGUUAAUUCCGAUAACGAACGAGACUUUGGCCUGCUAAAUAGUAAGCCUGUCCUGUGUGCUCGUGCGGGUGACGGUGCUCAUUGCCCUUCGAGGCGGUGGUGUCGUUCGCCGGCGGGUGCUGCGCAGGUGUUUACUUCUUAGAGGGACAAGCGGCGAGACAGUCGCACGAAAAUGAGCAAUAACAGGUCUGUGAUGCCCUUAGAUGUCCGGGGCCGCACGUGCGCUACAAUGACGGUUUCAGCGAGUUUGGAAACCUGGCCUGAGAGGGUUGGGCAAACUGAAUCAUCACCGUCGUGACUGGGAUCGGGGCUUGCAAUUAUUCCCCGUGAACGAGGAAUUCCUGGUAAGUGCAAGUCAUAAGCUUGCGCUGAUUAC